CAUUUAUAGCUGCUUGGACCAGCAUCUUCGGAAUUUGUAGACAUCCUGGCAACUUACAAUUAAUUCGAGGUGAGACACUGAAUUUGAGCAGAAACCAUAAGGAUACUCAAAGGACCUGUGACUCUCAGGAAAUGCAUCAAAUGAGAGUGACAGGUGAAACCGUUUCAAGACAAUGGCA